UGGGGAAUAUUGGACAAUGGGCGAAAGCCUGAUCCAGCAAUGCCGCGUGAGUGAUGAAGGCCUUAGGGUUGUAAACUGCUUUUGUACGGAACGAAACGGCCUUUUCUAAUAAAGAGGGCUAAUGACGGUACCGUAAGAAUAAGCACCGGCUAACUACGUGCCAGCAGCCGCGGUAAUACGUAGGGUGCAAGCGUUAAUCGGAAUUACUGGGCGUAAAGCGUGCGCAGGCGGUAAUGUAAGACAGUUGUGAAAUCCCCGGGCUCAACCUGGGAACUGCAUCUGUGACUGCAUUGCUGGAGUACGGCAGAGGGGGAUGGAAUUCCGCGUGUAGCAGUGAAAUGCGUAGAUAUGCGGAGGAACACCGAUGGCGAAGGCAAUCCCCUGGGCCUGUACUGACGCUCAUGCACGAAAGCGUGGGGAGCAAACA
rnacentral:rRNA from 1 species